rnacentral:rRNA from 1 species
GAUGAACGCUGGCGGCGUGCUUAAUACAUGCAAGUCGAGCGAACAGACGAGGAGCUUGCUCCUCUGACGUUAGCGGCGGACGGGUGAGUAACACGUGGAUAACCUACCUAUAAGACUGGGAUAACUUCGGGAAACCGGAGCUAAUACCGGAUAAUAUAUUGAACCGCAUGGUUCAAUAGUGAAAGACGGUUUUGCUGUCACUUAUAGAUGGAUCCGCGCCGCAUUAGCUAGUUGGUAAGGUAACGGCUUACCAAGGCAACGAUGCGUAGCCGACCUGAGAAGGUGAUCGGCCACACUGGAACUGAGACACGGUCCAGACUCCUACGGGAGGCAGCAGUAGGGAAUCUUCCGCGAUGGGCGAAAGCCUGACGGAGCAACGCCGCGUGAGUGAUGAAGGUCUUCGGAUCGUAAAACUCUGUUAUUAGGGAAGAACAAAUGUGUAAGUAACUAUGCACGUCUUGACGGUACCUAAUCAGAAAGCCACGGCUAACUACGUGCCAGCCGCCGCAGUAA